GAAACCAUGUCCCAAGGGAUAAGGCGCUAGUCUACGGAACCAGAGAUUCUGGGUUCGAUCCCCAGUGGAGUCG
rnacentral:tRNA from 1 species